rnacentral:sRNA from 1 species
GCCAGGUGUGGCGGCACAGGCCUGUAAUCCCAGCAGCUCGGGAGGCUGAGACAGGAGGAUCACGAGUUCAAAGUCAGCCUCAGCAAUGGGGAGGCACUAAGCAACUCAGUGAGACCCUGUCUCUA